rnacentral:rRNA from 1 species
AACGAACGCUGGCGGCAGGCCUAACACAUGCAAGUCGAGCGCCUCGCAAGAGGAGCGGCAGACGGGUGAGUCACGCGUGGGAAACUACCCUUUGGUACGGAACAACUCGGCGAAAGCUGAGCUAAUACCGUAUGUGUCCUUCGGGAGAAAGAUUUAUCGCCAAAGGAUGUGCCCGCGUCGGAUUAGCUAGUUGGUGGGGUAACGGCCCACCAAGGCGACGAUCCGUAGCUGGUCUGAGAGGAUGAUCAGCCACACUGGGACUGAGACACGGCCCAGACUCCUACGGGAGGCAGCAGUGGGGAAUAUUGGACAAUGGGGGCAACCCUGAUCCAGCCAUGCCGCGUGAGUGAUGAAGGCCUUAGGGUUGUAAAGCUCUUUCGCCCGCGAAGAUAAUGACUGUAGCGGGAGAAGAAGCCCCGGCUAACUUCGUGCCAGCAGCCGCAGUAAGAC